rnacentral:rRNA from 1 species
CUUCCGUUAUUGGUUAUGACGUGCUUGCACUGAAUGUUUUUUUAACACGAAGUGAGUGGCGGACGGGUGAGUAACACGUGGGUAACCUGCCCAGAAGCAGGGGAUAACACCUGGAAACAGAUGCUAAUACCGUAUAACAGAGAAAACCGCCUGGUUUUCUUUUAAAAGAUGGCUCUGCUAUCACUUCUGGAUGGACCCGCGGCGCAUUAGCUAGUUGGUGAGGUAACGGCUCACCAAGGCGAUGAUGCGUAGCCGACCUGAGAGGGUAAUCGGCCACAUUGGGACUGAGACACGGCCCAGACUCCUACGGGAGGCAGCAGUAGGGAAUCUUCCACAAUGGACGCAAGUCUGAUGGAGCAACGCCGCGUGAGUGAAGAAGGGUUUCGGCUCGUAAAGCUCUGUUGUUAAAGAAGAACGUGGGUGAGAGUAACUGUUCACCCAGUGACGGUAUUUAACCAGAAAGCCACGGCUAACUACGUGCCAGCAGCCGCGGUAAUACGUAGGUGGCAAGCGUUAUCCGGUUUUAUUGGGCGUAAAGCGAGCGCAGGGCGGUCUUUUAAGUCUUAUGUGAAUACCCUUUCGGCUCACCAGAAGAGGGCAUUCGGCAAUCUGGGAGACUUGGAGGGCAGAAGUAGGACGGUGGCAACUUCCAUGGUGUA